rnacentral:rRNA from 1 species
AAUAAGCGGAGGAAAAGAAACUAACAAGGAUUCCCCUAGUAACGGCGAGUGAAGCGGGAAGAGCUCAAAUUUGUAAUCUGGCACUUUCAGUGUCCGAGUUGUAAUCUCGAGAAGUGUUUUCCGCGCCGGACCGCAUACAAGUCUGUUGGAAUACAGCGUCAUAGUGGUGAGAACCCCGUAACUGAUGCGGAUGCCCGGUGCUUUGUGAUACACUUUCGAAGAGUCGAGUUGUUUGGGAAUGCAGCUCAAAUUGGGUGGUAAAUUCCAUCUAAAGCUAAAUAUUGGCGAGAGACCGAUAGCGAACAAGUACCGUGAGGGAAAGAUGAAAAGCACUUUGGAAAGAGAGUUAACAGUACGUGAAAUUGUUGGAAGGGAAACGAUUGAAGUCAGACUUGUUAUCUGGAGUUCAGCCUUUCGGUGUACUCUCCAGUUUACAGGCCAGCAUCAGUUUUCGGGGCGGGAAAAUCGUAAUUAGAAGGUAGCAGCCUAGCUGUGUUAUAGCUCUUUACUGGAUUCCGCUUUGGGGACUGAGGAACGCAGUGUGCUUUUAGCAAUACCCUCGGGUAUUUCACACUUAGGAUGCUGGUGGAAUGGCUUUAAACGACCCGUCUUGAAAC